rnacentral:rRNA from 1 species
UGGUGGAGCGAUUUGUCUGGUUAAUUCUGUUAACGAACGAGAUCUCAGCCAGCUAACUAGCUAUACAGAGGAAUCCCUCCGCCGCUAGCUUCUUAGAGGGACUAUGGCUGUUUAGGCCACAGAAGUUUGAGGCAAUAACA